AGUGAUACAGGGAUCCAAGAUAGGAGAAUUGAUUCAGAAACCAAGAUAAACAAAAUUAACGUAUUUAUUAAAAUAGCAAGAAAAUAAAAAUACAUUGCAAAAAACAAAUAUAAUUAACAUUAUUACCUCUAAAAGUAAAUGAACUAUUUACAAAAUAAAAAGAAAGCUACUAUUUUAAUCCACUCUUGAUCAGGAGAGAGUGUUAUUCAGUCCUGGAUUGUGUGGACGUACCUGGGAGAGAAACAUGUAUUCUUUUAUCUUCUUUCUUUUGUCCAUAUUUCUUCUUAAAUUUUAUUAUUAAUUUUCUUCUUAAAUAAGUAUUAAGACAAAUGCUAUCUUUGUUCCUUCAUGUCUUGUCAGAUGCCAGUGACAGAAAAGAAUACAGAUUCUCUUUUUCUCAUACAUUUUCAAAUGUUGAACUAUCUCUCUGUCUAGCACAGCAGUGCUCAAUCUUUUGAAAAGUGUUGGCUACUUAAGUAAUUUAAGUGGCUUGCACUUUAAGACAGAAAUAUAAUACUUUAGUAAGUUUUGAAAUACAAUACCAGUAAAAUGAAAAUGAAAAAAACAACAUUUAGAUUUGUUGUGGACCACAUCAGAUUUCUCCAUAGACCACAGGUUAAGCAUACCCGGUCUAACACUUAUUGCUUGCCUGAUGCCUACAAGUCAACUCUCUUGACUCUGUCCUCUCUAUCUUUAAACAUCACAGUUCUCACUUUACAUUUUAUUACACUUUAUAUUAUUUUCUUUAUAUUGAUCUAAUUUCAUUAUUAUCAAAAAAUGAUCUAUCCUUUUUUUGUUUGUUGCAUCUUCUGUUUGUUUAAUUAGAGAACAAAAGUCUCCAUACAAGUAGUUUGGACUAUCUGUAUGGAAACUUCAGCCUGUAUGGCAGUUCUCAUAAUAAACAAAUCUGAAAUAUAAGAUAAUCCCAUUAAUUAAGUUACAUUUAUUGGAAAUUAAUUAUUAAACUGAACCAUCUUUAUAAUAAUAAACCUUUGAUUAAUCAACAUUGGAUACUGUAACAGAUCUCAGUUCAGAAUUUUACAGAAACGAGGACUUCUCUGUAGUAGUUUCUAUUUUUGUAAAAUUCUAUAAUUUAUAUUUAACUUACACUAAAAACCACAAAAAUAAAUUAAAUCAGACAGAAAUAAUUAAAAAUUUUCCUAAUCAAUAAAAAUUUAAAUUUAUCUUACAAUUUAUAAAAAAAUCUUAAAAUUUCAAAGAAAGCAUUUAAAAAAUCACAAUAAAGUUUUAUAUCCUCAAAUAUAAAUAAUGUAAAAAAUCAUCAAGCUAAGAAUUAAAAAGAAAAUAUUGGAAAAAAAUUAGAAUGCUGCAUACAGAGGGCUUUAAAAACUAUUGUGAUCAUAUCUCAAUAUAAUGAGAUUGAACAGCACAAACUAAUUUAAAUUUAUUUAUUGCUACAAAAAUAGUGUGGAACACAGUAAUAACUUAAGUACCCAAACAAAACACAUUUCUAUUGUAUAAAAAUAUUAAUAUAUGUUUUAAAUAAUAAUGUAUGAUUUAUAUUUUAUUAUAUAUGCAUAAAUAUCCAUUAUUUUAUUAUAGUAAUAUGAAAUAUAUGCUCUACAUGUGUUUUAUU
rnacentral:lncRNA from 1 species